AGAGCCACAGGCUUCCCUCAAAACAUCUCACAAGUCAGAUGCAGGCAUGAGGACAGAUGGAGAAACAUCACAGAGCCGUCAUUUCUGGAAAUUGACUCAACACGUAAGAGGAGCACUGGAUGAAUGCUCAGAGCAGAUAUCUAAAACCCAGGUCUAAUGCCAAGGAGGCGGUUGUCCCCCUGCUGUCUGGCAGAGGAGCACACUCAGAAACAGAUUGGUUUAUGCUAUGCUCAUCUGCUGUCCCUGUGUCUUCACAGAGGGGAUCUAAGCUGACAGAGCUGGGAUUCAGAGCUAUGCCUUCCAGCUCCCUAACACAGGCUUGAGCAGUAUUGAAAGUGGUGUUGCAGGAGUACUGUAAGCAUCCUUGAAUCUGGAUUUCAAAAGUAAAGACGGAGGCAGGAAAAGGAAGUUGAAAAGAAGCCUAGUGGUUGGCCCAAGGAUGAAAUACAGCGACAGCUAGGGGCUGUGACCUCACACAAGCUUGUAAGAGGAUAAGCCCGGGGACGGAGGUUGGUGUGUGCCAGCAGACUCUGUGAGGUGGUACAUUUUUCUGGAUUCAAAAACAAGAUGUGUUUUAAAAAACCAAAUGAAAUCAUCUAAAGCUCAAAGAGUAUCAGCCUCGGAGGGAAGGACAUUAAACCCUGAACGCAGAUGGCUCCACUCACAAGGCAGUGUUACAAGGAACAAGUUACCUUGUUCCCCCUACAGACUUACACCUGUUUCCAGGAGAAGAAAAGAGACAAGGCAUCGAGGAAGCUUUCUGUCUAUAUGCCUGGAUUAUAAACAAUCACUGUCUGAGAAAUCCUGGCACGUUAACUAUUUACACCUAAUACAAUAUGGUUAUAUUUGUGUGAG
ensembl:processed_transcript 1700066O22Rik RIKEN cDNA 1700066O22 gene